rnacentral:rRNA from 1 species
GCGAGUGUAGGUGGUUGGAUAAGUUUGGUGUGAAAUCUCCCGGCUCAACUGGGAGGGUGCGCCGAAGACUGUCUAGCUAGAGUAUGGGAGAGGUAGGCGGAAUUCCUGGUGUAGCGGUGAAAUGCGUAGAUAUCAGGAGGAACACCUGCGGUGUAGACGGCUUACUGGACCAUGACUGACACUGAAACUCGAAAGUGUGGGGAGCAAACAGGAUUAGAUACCCUGGUAGUCCACACCCUAAACGAUGCAUACUUGGUGUGAGCGAUUCAUUUCGUUCGUGCCGGAGCUAACGCGUUAAGUAUGCCGCCUGGGGAGUACGGUCGCAAGGCUGAAACUCAAAGGAAUUGA